rnacentral:rRNA from 1 species
GUGCCAGCCGCCGCGGUAAUACGGAAGGUCCGGGCGUUAUCCGGAUUUAUUGGGUUUAAAGGGAGCGCAGGCUGGAGAUUAAGCGUGACGUGAAAUGCCGCGGCUCAACCGUGGAAGUGCGUCGCGAACUGGUUUUCUUGAGUGAGUUCGACGCCGGCGGAAUUCGUGGUGUAGCGGUGAAAUGCUUAGAUAUCACGAAGAACCCCGAUUGCGAAGGCAGCCGGCGAGGCCUUUACUGACGCUAAAGCUCGAAGGUGCGGGUAUCGAACAGGAUUAGAUACCCUGGUAGUCCGCACGGUAAACGAUGGAUGCCCGCUGUCGGCGAUAUAUUGUCGGCGGCCAAGCGAAAGCGUUAAGCAUCCCACCUGGGGAGUACGCCGGCAACGGUGAAACUCAAAGGAAUUGACGGGGGCCCGCACAAGCGGAGGAACAUGUGGUUUAAUUCGAUGAUACGCGAGGAACCUUACCCGGGCUUGAACUGCCGGUGAACGAUUCAGAGAUGAUGAGGUCCUUCGGGACGCCGGUGGAGGUGCUGCAUGGUUGUCGUCAGCUCGUGCCGUGAGGUGUCGGCUUAAGUGCCAUAACGAGCGCAACCCUUGCUGUCAGUUGCCAUCAGGUAAUGCUGGGCACUCUGUCAGGACUGCCACCGUAAGGUGUGAGGAAGGUGGGGAUGACGUCAAAUCAGCACGGCCCUUACGUCCGGGGCUACACACGUGUUACAAUGGGUGAUACAGAGAGUUGGUGCACGGCGACGUGCAUCGGAUCAUGAAAGUCAUCCUCAGUUCGGACCGGGUCUGCAACCCGACCCCGCGAAGCUGGAUUCGCUAGUAAUCGCGCAUCAGCCAUGGCGCGGUGAAUACGUUCCCGGGCCUUGUACACACCGCCCGU